UUAAUAUAAAAUUAAAAAAAAAAGGAAAUUAAUGUCACGAGAGAGUUAUAUAUUCCCAAUAAUAUGGUUUCUGUGCUACGUUUUGUAGGACCAUUUAUUGUCAAUCGAAUGUCUGAAAAGGUAAUAAAAAAAAUUCUCCAAUGGUGUUAAAUUGAAAAAUUUAUUUUCGGUUUCUCUCGACAAGUGUACACCACAAUCGUGUUUUCCAUAUACGGCGCUAUCGUCAUUAAAGAUUUUCAUAUAGAUAAGGAUGAUAUCAAUAGCAUAAUUCCUGAUUCAAUUCAUUUUCCGAAAGGAUAAUCGCAUUUUUUUAUCGUUGGAAAAUGAAAAUAUUGAUUCAAUUCAUUUUCCGAAAGGAUAAUCGCAUUUUUUUAUCGUUGGAAAAUGAAAAUAUUGAAUAUAUAAAUAACACUUAAUCAUUGGUCAAUAUGGUUUUGUUCAACGAUUAUUACGAGCCAUAUGCUGAUAUUUGUUGAGAUAUUAUAUAAAUUAAUAUCGGUUUUUUACCGAGUUAUUAUUUAUACAAAAUAUGUAUUUAAUAAUGAUUUUUGUCGUUCAGUUCUCGCCCAUUGUACACCACACUCGUGUUUUCCAUAUACGGCGGAAGACAUAAUUUAUGAAAAAUGUCAAGAUUUUUUAUUUCAAUGGAGCCUAAAAUUGAUAGAUUGUACUCGAUUCUAUUUUACCGGAUAGUGGUACUUGAAUUUUGCACCAUAUUAAAAUAUUUUAUUUGAAUGCUCUAAACAAAUAAAUAUAUGACGUUUAAUAUUCUUUUAAUAUAAAAUUAAAAAAAAAAGGAAAUUAAUGUCACGAGAGAGUUAUAUAUUCCCAAUAAUAUGGUUUCUGUGCUACGUUUUGUAGGACCAUUUAUUGUCAAUCGAAAGUCUGAAAAGGUAAUAAAAAAAAUUCUCCCAUGGUGUUAAAUUGAAAAAUUUAUUUUCGGUUGCUCUCGACAAGUGUACACCACACUCGUGUUUUCCAUAUACGGCGCUAUCGUCAUUAAAGAUUUUCAUAUAGAUAAGGAUGAUAUCAAUAGCAUAAUUCCUGAUUCAAUUCAUUUUCCGAAAGGAUUAUCGCAUUUUUUUAUCGUUGAAAAAUGAAAAUAUUGAUUAUAUAAUAACACUUAAUCAUUGGCCAAUAUGGUUUUGUUCAACGAUUAUUACGAGCCAUAUGCUGAUAUUUGUUGAGAUAUUAUAUAAAUUAAUAUCGGUUUUUUACCGAGUUAUUAUUUAUACAAAAUAUGUAUUUAAUAAUGAUUUUUGUCGUUCAGUUCUCGCCCAUUGUACACCACACUCGUGUUUUCCAUAUACGGCGGAAGACAUAAUUUAUGAAAAAUGUCAAGAUUUUUUAUUUCAAUGGAGCCUAAAAUUGAUAGAUUGUACUCGAUUCUAUUUUACCGGAUAGUGGUACUUGAAUUUUGCACCAUAUUAAAAUAUUUUAUUUGAAUGCUCUAAACAAAUAAACAUAUGACGUUUAAUUUUCUUUUAAUAUAAAAUUAAAAAAAAAAGGAAAUUAAUGUCACGAGAGAGUUAUAUAUUCCCAAUAAUAUGGUUUCUGUGCUACGUUUUGUAGGACCAUUUAUUGUCAAUCGAAAGUCUGAAAAGGUAAUAAAAAAAAUUCUCCCAUGGUGUUAAAUUGAAAAAUUUAUUUUCGGUUGCUCUCGACAAGUGUACACCACACUCGUGUUUUCCAUAUACGGCGGAAGACAUAAUUUAUGAAAAAUGUCAAGAUUUUUUAUUUCAAUGGAGCCUAAAAUUGAUAGAUUGUACUCGAUUCUAUUUUACCGGAUAGUUGUACUUGAAUUUUGCACCAUAUUAAAAUAUUUUAUUUAAAUGCUCUAAACAAAUAAACAUAUGACGUUUAAUUUUCUUUUAAUAUAAAAUUAAAAAAAAAAGGAAAUUAAUGUCACGAGAGAGUUAUAUAUUCCCAAUAAUAUGGUUUCUGUGCUACGUUUUGUAGGACCAUUAUUUUAUCGUUCGUUAGAUUGUAGAAAGAAUAAAAAUAAUUUUCUUAUUGUGUUGUAAUUAAAAACCUGUGCUCUAGGUUUUCUAUAUACGGCAGGAGACUUAAUGAAUCACAAUCGUGCAAAUUUAUAAUUUGCCCGUCAUUUCGUGUAUAAUAGCUAAUCGCUUUUUCUACUUAAAUAUAUUGUAUUAUUUAUAUGUUA